UUCACACCAACAAAAUCUCAAAAAGCAAGAGACCAAAUUUUCAAAGUCCCGCGCUCAACUCCGUUCUUCAAUUCUUCCCUCAGCUUUCCCUGCCGGUGGGUCUCGUCAGUGGUUCUCUCCCUCUAGCUUCCUCGUCGGUGGUUCUCUUUUCUCGUUGGUGGUUCUCGCCCUCUAGCCUCCUCGUCGGUGGUUCUCUUUUCUCGUUGGUGGUUCUCGCCAUCUAGCUUCCUCGUCGGUGGUUCUCGCCAUCUAGCUUCUCUGUCGCUGAACCAGCUAGCUUGCUCGGCCGGUGGUUCAGCUCGUGUCCUGUUCUUCGUCAAUCUUUUCGCCGCGAGAUUGGAUCAAGGUUUGUCACUUUACCAGUAGAGAGACUUCUAGCAGUAGUCAAUGCCCUGCUCCACCGGUGCUACAAGUAUCCAACUGUAACUACUGCGAAGGUGCCUCAGUCUCUUAGGAAGGAGCUUUUCGGUGUCUGUAGGGCUUUCUUAUCAGUAGAUGCUAUAAACAAGCAUGUUGAUUUCGUGCGAGAGUACAAGCCAGACUUUGAACGUGAUAUUGAUCUAGAUAACACUUCUACCUUCCUAGCAACACUUUCUGAACUCACUGAGAGAUUGAAGCAUUGGAAUAAUGUUCUGCAAAGCAAUGUUGAGGACAGAUUUCCUGCUGUGCUGAAGCUAGAAGAGGAAAGCAGGGUUUUGCGUGAUUUCCAUGUUGUUGAUGUUGAGCUUCCAGGACAGUAUUUCACUGAUCAGAAACUCGAAGCUUACGCACAUGCUGCAGAGCUCUUGAGAUUAGUGCUAGCGCUACAGACUUGGGGGAGACUUUAUGCUCCCUGAACUUUUCUAGUCGAGUCAAGGGAAUCGAAUAUGGUCCAGCUCGCAAACAGACAGAUUUUUCUGAGCUCCUCAAGUAUAAGCAUCUUGCUAAGAAAUCAAAGCAUGAUGAAGAAGAAGCAAAGAAACUGCAGGACAAUGUACAAUCUUUGCAGCUAAAACUUUUUGCCAGAGAGCAUAUAUGUAGAAAUCUCCAAGAGAAGUUUAUGCAGAUGGAAGUAUCUGUCUUGACAUUCUACAAAAUAAAUGGAGUCCCAUAUAUGAUGUUGCUGCUAUCCUAACGUCAAUUCAGGUCUAUACUCCGAGGAAUACACCUUAUGCUAGUGAGGAAAUUGAAGUGGUUCGUGAGCAAUGUGAUAAGUUUAUUACCAGGAAAUAUUUAUUAUUUGCCUGAGCGCGCUUGAUCGAGUAGGUUUAGAUGUUAUAGAACAACCUUUUAUAUUAAAUUGUAUGCCUAAGUUGAAAUUGGAACGUACAUAUAUUUUAAUGUAUGUGGUACGUGCACUUUGGUUUGGGGAUAUAUACAAAACAACAGUUAUUGUUUU